rnacentral:rRNA from 1 species
GAUGAACGCUGGCGGCGUGCCUAAUACAUGCAAGUCGAGCGAACAGACGAGGAGCUUGCUCCUCUGACGUUAGCGGCGGACGGGUGAGUAACAAGUGGAUAACCUACCUAUAAGACUGGGAGAAAUUAGGGAAACCGGAGAUAAUAAAGGAUAAUAUAGUGAACCGCAUGGUUCAAUAGUGGAAGACGGUUUUGCUGUCACUUAUAGAUGGAUCCGCGCCGCAUUAGCUAGUUGGUAAGGUAACGGCGUACCAAGGCAACGAUGCGUAGCCGACCUGAGAGGGUGAUCGGCCACACUGGAACUGAGACACGGUCCAGACUCCUACGGGAGGCAGCAGUAGGGAAUCUUCCGCAAUGGGCGCAAGCCUGACGGAGCAACGCCGCGUGAGUGAUGAAGGUCUUCGGAUCGUAAAGCUCUGUUAUUAGGGAAGAACAAAUGUGUAAGUAACUAUGCACGUCUUGACGGUACCUAAUCAGAAAGCCACGGCUAACUACGUG